ACAGCCUUUGGUACACUUUGGACAGAGUGGUGGACAUACAGUGGUGUCUCGGGUCCACGAUAUUGGGGAAUCCAUAAUCCAGAUUGGAGUAUAUGUAAUAAAGGGAAAUAUCAAUCACCAAUUAACAUUGAUCCUAAAAUAUUAGUACACGAUCCACAUAUGAAACAUCUCAACAUAAGUCAAUAUCAAAUUGAUGGCCUUUUUAGAAACAAUGGACAUUUUUUAUCCUUGUUAAUCAAUAAUACCAAUACUAAACCAUUUUAUAUAACCGGUGGACCUUUAUCUUAUAAAUAUACAUUGUACGAGAUCAAAAUUCAUUUUGGAGAUCAUGACAGCAUAGGAUCAGAACACAGUGUUGGCGGGAAAAAAUUUCCAUUA